GAGUGGGGCUGUGGGAGGAAGAAGGGCGCGCGGGCGUUGGCCGUGUGUGGGUGUCUGAGGCAGUUUUCCAGUUCUUUCAUUUACCAAAGUGAUAUGCACCUACUAGGUGCCAGGUGUUUAGACGGACAUUCAACCCUCUGCAAAAUCUUUGAGUGUAGUCCUCUGUAGGAAAAGUUUCCAACCAAGAAUUGCCACUGCACCUGAGAUAAGGGAGAUCCUGGGAGCCGUGAGGAACCUAUACAAAAUGGGAAAUUGGAACAAAUUCCAGUGGCUCAUGACACUAAGAAGUAAAACUACGAACUCAGACACUGAGCUGGAAGUCAUGCAACGGGAAGUGAAUAGGUAAACUACUGUACUGGGAAAUGAAGGGGUAGGAAAGAAGGAAAACUUCAAGUUACAGACUGGGUGGAGAUUACGGACUCAGAUACGAGGAUGGGGUGGUGUCUUAAGUAUUACCAUUUUACAAGUGAACAGUCACUAAAUAAUGUGUGUAUCAUCCCACAACUAGUGGAAGGUGGGAUUCCAAACCACAUUUGUAACUUAGGAAACGUGCCCUUUCCACUACAGUACCACAAAUAAACUGCUGUUGUGAAUAGA